rnacentral:rRNA from 1 species
CCAAAAGGUGAGGGAGGUAUGGGUUUUCGUGACCUUAUGUUAUUUAAUCAAGCUCUACUGGCUAAACAAACUUGGCGGUUAUUGAUAUUUCCCAAGUUGCUUUGUGCAAAACUGAUGAAGGCAAAGUAUUGCCCUCAAGGCCACCUUCUUGAUACGGUUUUUUCGCAGUCUACUUCAAUGACUUGGCAAGGUAUUAUGCAUGGUCUGGAUCUUCUUAAAAAAGGGGUUAUUUGA